rnacentral:rRNA from 1 species
UACGAAGGGGGCUAGCGUUGUUCGGAAUCACUGGGCGUAAAGCGCACGUAGGCGGAUCUUUAAGUCAGGGGUGAAAUCCCGAGGCUCAACCUCGGAACUGCCUUUGAUACUUGGGAUCUCGAGUCCGGGAGAGGUGAGUGGAACUGCGAGUGUAGAGGUGAAAUUCGUAGAUAUUCGCAAGAACACCAGUGGCGAAGGCGGCUCACUGGCCCGGAACUGACGCUGAGGUGCGAAAGCGUGGGGAGCAAACAGG